rnacentral:tRNA from 1 species
GCCUGGGUGGUUUAGUUGUUAAACGUCUGCCUUUGGCUCAGGGCGUGAUCCCGGCGUUGUGGGAUCGAGCCCCACAUCAGGCU